AGUUGAAUAUCUGAUCUCUCUUACUCUUUCCCUACUUUCCUUCCCGCUGCAUGUAAUACUACAAAUCUCAUUGUCAGUUUUUACUUACAAAAUACUAGCUUGCAUGCAGGUGUGCACAGCAAUAAAAAAAAAACACAGAAGCUCUCUUCUCUCCAAAAAGGCAGGACUGGGAGCUGGGGAGCAAUCGGCUCCUGCUGCCUGUUUUGUUUAACCACCAGAGGACUUUAACUUUGGUUUUUGACAUGGAUAUUCUCACUGCUAGCGCAAAACUAGUCAAAACAACGCCUCCCAUCUGGCCUUUGCAGCAUUUAUUAUCUUUAUAGGCCUCAACAAGUAUGCAUUUUAUUUUUCAAUCUCUACUGUAUUAAAUACUCAUACAAUCCUUUUGUUUCUAGCCAUGCUGCGUGUCAUAAAUCAUGCCUUCUGAACUGUGAAACUGUUACUGAAAAGAGCGUCCUGUCUCCUGGUGAUGCAGUUGCUUAUUUAUGCCUGACCCGCACAGUUCUUCAGCAUAUUUGUGACCAGCCUCAGAGGGUGUGUCAGCAUGCCUAACAGUGGGGAGACUCUUAAGAAAAAUCUACAAGAUGAAAAUGGGCCUCCUCAAAUAACAGAAGAUAGCAAAGUUCUGAAAGUGAAGAAAAGAACAGUCAUGCUGCUGAGCCGUUCCUUUACGAGUCUCCAAAGGAUAGAGCAGUACUGAAGACUAGAAGUUCAGAACUGUCUGCUCUGCACAUGCUACCAUUCAUAUUGUGUCUCUGAAUUGACUGAAAAAAAACAUCCUUGUUGCAGCUGUGACUAUAAGUCUUCCCUGUAAAAAUGGAAGGGAUAAAGUUUGGGUGGUAAUUUGCCUUUGUUAUUGAACAUUUGAUUUAAAAAUGUGCUUGGUGUGUAUAUUGUUCCUGAAAUUCUAAGGAAAGAAAAUCAGAGGCUAGAGCACUGACUGCUUUCCAUGCAUUCAAAUUCCUUGCCUUAAAUACAUCGUUUCUUGAAGAAAUCUGGGUGUAGUUGUUGUUUUCUAAGUAGCGUUGUCCACCUGGUGUGGUUUGAAGUCGGGUGAAGUUUCUUUCUUGGUGCUGGAAGCAGGAUUUCAGGUGAGGAGAACCAGACAAAGAAUAUCUAUUCAAGCGAGAUGGGCAGAGCUAGAAAGAGCUUUUGUAAGGCUGAAAUUCAGUGUGACCUCAAAAAGGAGGGAGAGAGGAGGUAAUGAGUUCAGCAUGACCUAACUGCUGGAAUUCCUUUCACACACAUACUUCUCAGCUGUCUGGAAAACAAAAGAUCAAAAUAUACAAGUUGGGUUUUGUUUGGUUUGGGUUUUUUUGCAAAUACAAAUCUGCUAAAGGUGUGUGCCAACUGUGGCUUACAGCAAAAUGCCUUUCAGCUAUUAUCUUUUUCUUUAGUGCUUUGUUCUUCAUUAAACUUUUGUGUUGCUUUUAAGUAAACCUUUGUGUGAGAAGAAGCUAUAUUAAUAACUUGAGAGACUGUUAUCUGGUGCAAUCUGAGAAGACUGAUUGUCAGAUCAGCUGAAUGUUUUUGCAAGAGUAGGUGCAUGUUUGCACUCAUUUGUGGCCCCCUUCUUAAGUCUCAUAAGGACACUGAAACUAAUUAGAACCCAAAUCUAACCAGUUCUUUAAGGACAAAGGGAAAUUUUAAAUAGAACGAUUGGGAAAGUAUUACAAUAUUGCCCCAAUUAAAAAAGAGGAUUAACUGGUAAAUAAAACCAGUUAUAAUAGACAAAAAGGACCACAAGGACCUCUUAGCUGCUUAAGGUUAGCUGCUUAAGAAGGUAAGGCUUCUACAUGUAAUAUGAAGUUAGGAUUGGAGGAACUAAUGUUACAUGCUGCUACUGUCCUUUUCCUUAUGCAGCAGAACACAAGGAAAUAUUUCCUAAAUGUCUGGGGUAAUAAUUAAUAGCAUCUCAGUCAGGAGAUGUAGAAAUUCCUACUUAGCUAUUUGUGUUGCUUACAGGUUUCUGUCUAUCUGAUGAGCUAUCAAAGCUUUGGCACUGUGUAAUGUUGAUUUAAAUUUGAGUGAUUUCACCAUCUUUGUCUCAAUCUCUGACAGAUGUGUGAGUCUUAAUUUAUUUUCUUGCGCUCCCCCCUACCUCCUCCCCCCAGAGUUCUGUUUUAAAAUGUUCGACUCAGCACUUGCAAGACACGAGAGAAACUGGGAAAGGAUUACUCAUGAAACAGGAUCUGGGUGAUGUUUAGUAGCUGAAGUUUCUGAGCAAAGUGCCAGGAUCAUUCAGGUUUUCAGAAGUACCCAUAGGCAAUGUGACUGCCUGCUUUUUUGCUGAGUAAAGAAUUGCCAGGUGAUUACUUAAUGAUUUCAUCUUGAAUUAAAAUGGCCCAGUAAUGCCUGACUCCCAUUAGAAAGUGCUUUGAAAUAAGCAAAUGCAGACCCAAAACACACUGCCAGAAGUAGCUCUGGCAUAGGCUCAAGCUGGUGGAUUGCAUACAGAUAGGUUGUCCUGGAAAUCAGGUAACAAAAGCUGAGGGGGAAUAAAUUCUCACUGACUUGAGAAAGGCAGAAAGGUUCUGCCAUGGCAAAAAGUCCAUGUUUUCCAAUUCAGCCUCAUUUGUGUACUUCAACUAGGGUUUAUUUUUAAUUGGGAAAGACUUAAGGCAACAAAA
rnacentral:lncRNA from 1 species